CUACGUGCCAGCAGCCGCGGUAAUACGUAGGGUGCGAGCGUUAAUCGGAAUUACUGGGCGUAAAGCGAGCGCAGACGGUUACUUAAGCAGGAUGUGAAAUCCCCGGGCUUAACCUGGGAACUGCGUUCUGAACUGGGUAGCUAGAGUAUGUCAGAGGGGGGUAGAAUUCCACGUGUAGCAGUGAAAUGCGUAGAGAUGUGGAGGAAUACCGAUGGCGAAGGCAGCCCCCUGGGAUAAUACUGACGUUCAUGCUCGAAAGCGUGGGUAGCAAACAGGAUUAGAUACCCUGGUAGUCCACGCCCUAAACGAUGUCGAUUAGCUGUUGGGCAGCUUGACUGCUUAGUAGCGUAGCUAACGCGUGAAAUCGACCGCCUGGGGAGUACGGUCGCAAGAUUAAAACUCAAAGGAAUUGACGGGGACCCGCACAAGCGGUGGAUGAUGUGGAUUAAUUCGAUGCAACGCGAAGAACCUUACCUGGUCUUGACAU
rnacentral:rRNA from 1 species